rnacentral:rRNA from 1 species
GAUUAACGCUGGCGGCGUGCCUAACACAUGCAAGUCGAGCGGCAGCGAGUUUUACACUGAAUUCUGGAAGCUUCUAGUUGAAAGAGAAGAUUUAUUCAAGAAUUUUGUGUAAAAUGUCGGCGAGCGGCGGACGGCUGAGUAACGCGUGGGAACGUACCCCAAAGUGAGGGAUAACGCAUCGAAAGGUGUGCUAAUACCGCAUAUGGUCUUCGGAUUAAAGCCUUCGGGCGCUUUGGGAACGGCCUGCGUAAGAUUAGAUAGUUGGUGGGGUAAUGGCCCACCAAGUCGACGAUCUUUAACUGGUUUGAGAGGCUGAUCAGUCAGACUGGAGCUGAGACACGGUCCAGACUCCUACGGGAGGCAGCAGUGAGGAAUCUUCCACAAUGGGCGAAAGCCUGAUGGAGCAACGCCGCGUGCAGGAUGAAGGCCUUCGGGUUGUAAUCUGCUUUUAUAAGUGAGGAUUAUGACAGUAACUUAUGAAUAAGGAUCGGCUAACUACGUG